AGCGAACGCUGGCGGCAUGCUUAACACAUGCAAGUCGAGCGGGCAUCCUUGUGGUGUCAGCGGCAGACGGGUGAGUAACGCGUGGGAACGUGCCCUUCGGUUCGGAAUAACUCAUGGAAACUUGACCUAAUACCGGAUACGUUCGAGAGCAGAAAGGUUUAUCUGCCGAAGGAUCGGCCCGCGUCUGAUUAGCUAGUUGGUGAGGUGACGGCUCACCAAGGCGACGAUCAGUAGCUGGUCUGAGAGGCUGAUCAGCCACACUGGGAAUGAGACACGGACCAGACUGCUACGGGAGGCAGCAGUGGGGAAUAUUGGAGGAUGAGGGCAAACCUGAUCAAGCCAUGCCGGGUGGGUGAUGACGGCCUUAGGGUUGUAAAGCUCUUUUCUCCGGGACGAUAAUGACGGUACCGGAGGAAUAAGCACCGGCUAACUUCGUG
rnacentral:rRNA from 1 species